UUUCCGAAGGAAAAAACUGGUUAUUAGAUUGGCGAAUGCUGGCGGGCUGGCUGGCUGGCGGGCUGGCGGAAUAAGCUUGUCCGGGCCAUAACUAUGUCGUUCAUUGUCAGAUUUUAAAAUCAUUUGGCACAUUUGUUCACCAUCAUUGGACGGUGUGUCGCGCGAAAUAAUUACGUCGAUAUCUCCAAGGUCAAGGUCACACUUUGAGUUCAAAGGUCAAAAAUGGCCAUAAAUGAGCUUGUCCUGGCCAUAACUAUGUCAUUCAUUGUGAGAUUUUAAAAUCAUUUGGCACAUUUGUUCACCAUCAUGGGACGGUGUGUCCCACGAAAGAAUCAUGUCAAUAUCUCCAAUGUCAAGGUCGC